AUUGAACGCUGGCGGCAUGCUUUACACAUGCAAGUCGAACGGUAACAGGUUAAGCUGACGAGUGGCGAACGGGUGAGUAAUGCAUCGGAACGUGCCCAAUCGUGGGGGAUAACGCAGCGAAAGCUGCGCUAAUACCGCAUACGAUCUGAGGAUGAAAGCGGGGGACCGGAAGGCCUCGCGCGAUCGGAGCGGCCGAUGGCAGAUUAGGUAGUUGGUGGGGUAAAGGCUCACCAAGCCAACGAUCUGUAGCUGGUCUGAGAGGACGACCAGCCACACUGGGACUGAGACACGGCCCAGACUCCUACGGGAGGCAGCAGUGGGGAAUUUUGGACAAUGGGCGAAAGCCUGAUCCAGCAAUGCCGCGUGCAGGAAGAAGGCCUUCGGGUUGUAAACUGCUUUUGUACGGAGCGAAAAGGUUCUCUCUAAUACAGAGGGCUCAUGACGGUACCGUAAGAAUAAGCACCGGCUAACUACGUGCCAGCAGCCGCAGUAA
rnacentral:rRNA from 1 species